GGAAAUGUGCCUGAACAAAAGGGUAACUUUGAUAGAGUUAAUAAUAGAGAUUAUAACCCUCUCAUUUCCU
rnacentral:tRNA from 2 species